rnacentral:rRNA from 1 species
AUUGAACGCUGGCGGCAGGCCUAACACAUGCAAGUCGAGCGAGUGGCGGACGGGUGAGUAAUGUCUGGGAAACUGCCUGAUGGAGGGGGAUAACUACUGGAAACGGUAGCUAAUACCGCAUACCAUCGGAUGUGCCCAGAUUGGAUUAGCUAGUAGGUGGGGUAAAGGCUCACCUAGGCGACGAUCCCUCGCUGGUCUGAGAGGAUGACCGGCAACACUGGAACUGAUACACGGUCCAGACUCCUACGGGAGGAAGCAGUGGGGAAUAUUGCACAAUGGGCGCAAGCCUGAUGCAGCCAUGCCGCGUGUAUGAAGAAGGCCUUCGGGUUGUAAAGUACUUUAAGCGAGGAGGGGUUACUCGCAGAAGAAGCACCGGCUAACGCCGUGCCAGCGGCCGCGGUAAUAC